rnacentral:rRNA from 1 species
GAUGAACGCUGGCGGCGUGCUUAACACAUGCAAGUCGAACGAAGCACUUAAGAUUGCUUCUUCGGAUGACGUCUUUUGUGACUUAGUGGCGGACGGGUGAGUAACGCGUGGGUAACCUGCCUCACACAGGGGGAUAACAGUUAGAAAUGACUGCUAAUACCGCAUAACCCGAUAGGAUCGCAUGAUCCAGACGGAAAAGAUUUAUCGGUGUGAGAUGGACCCGCGUCUGAUUAGCUAGUUGGUGAGGUAACGGCCCACCAAAGCGACGAUCAGUAGCCGGGCAGAGAGGGAGAAACGACACAUUGGGGAUGGGACACGGCCCAAAAUCCUAAGGGAGGGAGGAAUGGGGGAUAUUGCAAAAUGGGGGAAAACAUGAAGGAGCGACGCCGGGUGAGUGAAGAAGUAUUUCGGUAAGUAAAGCCAUAUAAGACGGGGAGAAAAUGACGGUACCUGACUAAGAAGCCCCGGCUAACUACGUG